GCUGGCGUAGCUCAACUGGUAGAGCAGCUGAUUUGUAAUCAGCAGGUCAUGGGUUCAAAUCCCUUCGCCAGCUCCA
rnacentral:tRNA from 1 species